rnacentral:rRNA from 1 species
UGGUGCGAUCAUACCAGCACUAAUGCUUCGGAUCCCAUCAGAACUACGCAGCUAAGCGUGCUGGUGCGAUCAUACCAGCACUAAUGCUUCGGAUCCCAUCAG